rnacentral:rRNA from 1 species
AAAGCGGGGGAUCCUUCGGGACCUCGCGCUAGAGGGGCGGCCGAUGGCAGAUUGGCUAGUUGGUGGGGUAAAGGCUCACCAAGCCGACGAUCUGUAGCUGGUCUGAGAGGACGACCAGCCACACUGGGACUGAGACACGGCCCAGACUCCUACGGGAGGCAGCAGUGGGGAAUUUUGGACAAUGGGCGCAAGCCUGAUCCGGCCAUUCCGCGUGCAGGAUGAAGGCCCUCGGGUUGUAAACUGCUUUUGGACGGAACGAAAAGGCCUUUUCUAAUACAGAGGGCUCAUGACGGUACCGUCAGAAUAAGCACCGGCUAACUACGUGCCAGCAGCCGCGGUAAUACGUAGGGUGCAAGCGUUAAUCGGAAUUACUGGGCGUAAAGCGUGCGCAGGCGGUUAUGUAAGACAGGUGUGAAAUCCCCGGGCUUAACCUGGGAACUGCAUUUGUGACUGCAUAGCUAGAGUACGGUAGAGGGGGAUGGAAUUCC